GGCGUUUGACUUUUCUUCCCCCGCCAAUUGAUUAAUUCACUUCGGUUGAUUUUCUGCACUGAAAUUCUGCAACUCCCACUUCUGUUUACAUCCGGCAUUCAUGGCUGCAGGAACAGAACAUCCAUCAUCCGGGAGGAACUGGGAGCAGAGUAACAAACGAAUACGCACUUACUCUACUGGAAACUGGACUAAGGCGCAUAAUAUCUGAUAUAUUAAGGGAAGAAGAACUGUAUCCCGUUUCUUCUGCCUCUGUUUGGAAGAUGUUUCUUCCUGUUGUAAAGACAAAAACAUGGGUCUAUACUAAAGCUCUGUGAUUUGUUCGAACUGCUUUCAUCAAUUCCAGGCGAGGAGAAGAGACAGCAAACCUUCAUUAGAAGAGGAAGACCAAGACAGGAUCAGCUGUUUACCUUUGGAUUUAAUAGAAAUGAUCUUGCGUCGGUUGCCGCUCUGGGAAGCUGUGAGAACUAGCGUCUUGUCAAGGAGGUGGAGAUAUGCAUGGACGACUCUCAUGGAGAUAGUCCUUGAUGAAAGCUGCGCUCCCUCACCCUCCCAAUACAAAUCCGUUACUGAUAGGCUAGUGAAAAUUAUUGACAACAUUCUCUCGCUUCACCGGGGUCCAAUGGAGAAGUUUGUGCUCUCUCAUGGACAGCUUUAAAGCACCAGUGAUGUUGGCCGCUGGAUCCUGUACCUUUCAUGGCUCUCUGUGACUGACUUGACCCUUUGCUUUGAGUAUGACGAACCGUUAGGCAAGAUACCCCCCUCUCUGUUUCAUUGCCAGGAUUUGGUGAAGUUUGAUCUCUCGUAUUGUUCACUUGAACUGCCUCCCGCAUUCCAAGGGUUCAAAAAUCUGGAAACCGUGGAGCUUUCCAAAGUUGACUUGACUCAAGAAUCACUUGAGAACUUAAUCUCUAGUUGCCCUCAAUUGCGUGAACUGAAAUUGUAUCUAGAUAAUGAUGCUAUACAUCUCACCGUUGAUGCACCCAAUCUUCAGGAACUUGAGAUCGACGGUUCAUUAGGAGAGAUUAGCUUUGGCUGCAAUUCUUUGGCACGAGUAAGAAUAGACUUAUGUAAUAUGGAGUACAAGUGUACAACCAUGCUCAAGCCAAUGAACCUGCAAUCUGGAGAAAUUCUUCGAAAAUCUACUGCUCAUCUCCGCCUUCCACAUUGAGGAAGAGGCACUUAACUAUUUAUCAAUUGGUAAGGUGCCAGCUGUGUUGUCCAAUUCUCAGUCUGAAGUGCGCUGCCAUAUGCACAGACCUGCACAAUAGGAGGCAUGUUCUAACUAUGCUUUACCUCCUAAGGAGUUCCCCCUGCCUUGAGCAGACGGUUUUCAAAGUUGUAAGUUUAUAGUUUUCCGAACUAUACUUCCGAACUAUAUAUCUAUUUGCUUUUGGAGAAUGGUUCUAUUCUUUUCGGUUCUUUUCUUUUCCUGGUGUGAACAAUGCGAAAAAACACACAUGUAUAUAAGAAAAAGAAGAUGUUUAUGUAUAUACUCCAUAAUGAAUAAUCUCCCAAUUAGUAUUUAUCUGGUCUUUGUAUGAUGAAAGCUUCUUUCAAAUGCAUGAUUUUGAUGAAUGAAGACACCGACAUGUUUCCAAAAAAAGCUUCUUUCAAAUCCCAUGCAGUUUUCAGAAGAUGAAUUGGCCGAUGAGGAUAAAAUCGAAGACUGUAGCGAAAUAUACAGUUCUCAGUUCUCCUGCUCUAUUGGGUGAUUGUGGUCUGUCCAUGUUCGGUUUUCUGGAUGGCCUGUGGAAAUGAACUUUCUUAAAUUUUUGCCUGUCAACUCGCCAGUGUUGGAAAAAAUGGAAGUUACAGUUUACUGUUCAGUUUCUGGUCCUAGUGCAGCCGACAAGCUGUUGGCAGAGCUGGAGGCUGGAGCAGUCCCAAAGAGCUUCUGUUCAAGCAGAGAUCGCAGUCAGAAUGGGAUGGUGAUGGUAAACUUGCUAGCUAGGUUUUGCAUUCUGGAUUGAGUUUGAUCAAUUGGCCCGGUUGAGAACGGUACUGCUACUGGAGUUCUGUGUAUAUGUCUGUAGGCAAAGACCCGUUCUUUUUUUUUGAACUUUAGUCUUCUUGUGCACAAUCUAGGCUAAAAGUUGUAUCAGGAUAGUUGAGGAUUGUUAAAGGAUGAUGAUUUGCCAGUCACAUUCAUCCUUUUUCUUUUUCAAAACAAAUGAGGUUCAUGGAACAACUCCCCCGAACCUUACAUUUGAAAA